rnacentral:lncRNA from 1 species
AGAAACUUAAGAUCAUGUGAUGAUCACAUGUCUAUCCUAUGUGCAGUGGUGGAUCAGCUGCGCCAAUUGCGCCACACUGCGCCAAAACGGAGUGUCUGCGCAUUUUUGCGCCAAUUUCGUAAUUUUUCGAAUAAAUUGCGCCCGUCUGCGCCAAAAAGUAAAUGUUGGCACUUCUGUCAAUAAUUCCUUUAGUGAAAGGAAAAAAUUUCAUUCCGAUAUCGCAAAGAAAAGUUAGCAGGAAAAAUACAUGCAUUUCAAUUUGUAAGAUUUACGAAACUAACGGAACCCUGCCCUCGAAUCGUACGGUAAUCUCAACAAGGCGCCUGGUUUAACUGAUAGUGUGAGAGUAGUGUCCCCGGUCUGGACUUAUUACAUGUUCUUGUUCUAGAACAAGCAAAUGGAAAGUAAAGGUAAGAAUUUUUCUUCUUUUGUAUAUUUAACGUAUUUUUCCUAAGUCUUAAUUAUUGUUUUCACUGCUGUCAUUGUACCCUGGUUGUACGAUCCAAUCGUUAUCAAGCGAUUUCAAACGCUGCAUACAAAGAAAUGUCAGCUAUCAAGAAUAGGCCUAAAUUCUUUGUACUAUUAUAGCAAAAUAUAAUUUUAUAAAA